rnacentral:rRNA from 1 species
AAGGAUCAUUACAGAUUAGAGAAGCUUAAUUGCUUUUUCUUACACAUUUGUUUUUUCUUUUUUGAAAAAUUGCUUUGGUAGUGAGUCUUAAAAACACUUGCUGCCAGAGGUUAAACUUAAAUUUAAUUUUUUAUUUACUAGUCAACAAGAAAUCUAAUAGUUAAAACUUUCAACAACGGAUCUCUUGGUUCUCGCAUCGAUGAAGAACGCAGCGAAAUGCGAUAAGUAAUAUGAAUUGCAGAUAUUCGUGAAUCAUCGAAUCUUUGAACGCACAUUGCGCCUUUUGGUAUUCCAGAAGGCAUGCCUGUUUGAGCGUCAUUUCUCCCUCAAACCCUUGGGUUUGGUGUUGAGCAAGACGUUUUUGAGUUUGCUUGAAAGAUAUUUAGUUUUUUUCCAAAGGAUAGGUUUUACCAAAUCUUUGAAUAUAAGAAACUAUUGAAAUUUCCAAAUUCGACCUCAAAUCAGGUAGGACUACCCGCUGAACUUAA